rnacentral:misc_RNA from 1 species
CCUCCUUAUACGAUUUAGAACUUAUUUGUUCGUAGUGUCCACACAGAUGAUUGUUAGUUAGUUUUACCCUUUGGGUUAACUAAUUAAUAUGCUCUUUAAAAAUUUGGAAAAGCUGAUAAUAAAAUUCGUAUGAAUAACAUUGUUAUUUGUACAGAGUUUUCAAAAGUAAAAAAGAAUGAUAGCAGUAUCAUUCAGUGCCAAUUUAAUCCCCGGAUUAAUUGGUAUCUACUUUAGUAUUCAAUAUUAACUACUGGCGAAGUUAAACUGUCACGAAACAAAGACCCGUUUGGGUUGUAUGGUUAAGUGACUAAGCGUACACGGUGGAUGC